UUAUGAUUUGGGCAUCACACGUGCUACAAUGGACAAUACAAAGGGUAGCGAAACCGCGAGGUCAAGCAAAUCCCAUAAAGUUGUUCUCAGUUCGGAUUGUAGUCUGCAACUCGACUAUAUGAAGCUGGAAUCGCUAGUAAUCGUAGAUCAGCAUGCUACGGUGAAUACGUUCCCGGGUCUUGUACACACCGCCCGUCACACCACGAGAGUUUGUAACACCCGAAGCCGGUGGAGUAACCAUUUGGAGCUAGCCGUCGAAGGUGGGACAAAUGAUUGGGGUGAAGUCGUAACAAGGUAGCCGUAUCGGAA
rnacentral:rRNA from 1 species